CCGCCCUCGUCGCCCGCCGCCGCCUCCAGCCGCCGCCUCGCCAUCCUCCCGGCCAUCCUCAGCGCCGACGCCGCCUCCUCCUCAGCGCCGCUGCCCCUGCCUCCUCAGCGCCGCCGCCCCUGCUUCCUCUCCGCGCCGCCUCUACCGACCGCGCGCUUCAGCCGUCGGCGGCCCAUGGGAAGAGCACGAGAGGGUGUGACAUGGAGAAGGGGGCGCACAGGAUGGCGACCAUGGAGGGGGCCGCGCGGGGUGGCCGAGCAGCAGCCGUUGGCGGCGGCCUCCUCUGCCCCGAGCGGGGAGGUGGUGUGGCCUUCAUCGUCGAUUAGCAGCAGGUUAUACUGCAUCAACAUCUCGUGAGGCCAUGGAACAAGCUGGGCACUCCGUGAGGAGACAACUUUCAUGGGCAAAUAAGGACAGGAAUCAGUGGCUGGCAGCAUGGGGUUAGAUGCCACAACACGUAGUGUUCUUUUCUUCUUAUGUAUACAUCUUUGUUUGGUUUCUUAGCAGGAAUUUCAGCUAUACCAGGAUGUAGACCACAAAUAAUCUUGUAAAAUUGUCUCUGUAUGAUUAAUCUUGUUUGAUUCAUCUUGUGAACAGACAAAAAGCAAUUCAAACAGCUUGUAUUUCAUCGGAACAGCAGAUCAACAUGAUCUCUCCUCAAAACCGAUGCUAGGUAUUUCUGGAUUCCCAGUUUUGAAGUGCUCGGGAGUUUGUUACAUUGCUCAAGACCCAUAUACUUCAAACUGAUGCUAGGUAUUGUUUUUUGUACUGCCUGUUCUGAAUCAUCUCCACCUCUGUUCUGCUCACCGGUCCUCUCCAUUUCACAAUAUAUUGUCAAAGUCAAUGUGCAGUUUUGCUAUGUAGCCUCUCUGAUCAGCAAGAUAAUUUAAGGCAAUAUUGUUAGAGAAACUGUCUAAACUGAAAUGAGCAUAGUUUCUCUCAACCAUUUCCUAUUUAGACCAGUGUACAAAGAGAGACCAAAGUUUGACACCGGAAAAGUUAAUGCUGAUUAAUCAGACCAUAUUCUCAGUUAAAUGAAAUACCAUGAAUUUCUGUUUUACUCUGAAAUUUAACAAAUGUAAAAGAGAAAGUUCCUGAGAUAUCAUGGGCUAUGUGAUGCUUGAAACAAAAUAAUAGUUGUGUGUUGUAAUCUAAAACAUUUUUUUGCAGGGAUAUAUCUGAAACAUUUUCUUGCAGGAACUUUUGUACAUAUACAUAUCUACUUCUUGAGUGUGCCCCGUAAAGAAAGCCUCAAUGCUUGUGAUCCCUUUACCUUCUUACUUUGUUGUUGCUCUUCCCAGAUUAUUUCCAUAAAAACACACUGUUUCUUAUAUUAUGCUGGUAUUACAGGAUGGUAUGUUCCGCUGCAUUAUUCAAGGUUGGAGAUUCACGCCUGACUAGCCAUAGUGGUUGGUCUCUUGUAGUGAGUGCAGGCAAAUGUCUAGACCUGCUACUUGUUCAUCUACAAGACACCUGCACGGAGGCAACUCUGGAGUAGCGUCUCGCCUAUAGACCAAGUUGGAGAAAGUUAAAAGACGCUCUCAGAUGAGAAUGAUCAUGCUUAUGAUCUUUUGUAAUAUAACUACUGUUGGAUUGAAAAUAGGAUAUUAGUUACAACUAUGAAUUUCCUUUAAGGAAUUUACACCUGAUCCUCACUUUACAUAUCUCUUCCUUGAAACCUUUCCAAAAACAAUGUAUUUACGCCUGCUCAAAUAUAUGUAUGUGCACUGCUGAAGUUGAUGAACCGCCAAGUCGUAUUAUUUUCUAUUAGUAUGAUGUGCACUACUAGAGUCAAAAUUCCUUGAGCACAAUAGCAUUUCCAAAAUGCAUAAUACAUAGCCAUGGACUUAACACGUGAAUUUCUUUUGCCAGCUUAUUAACAAAUUUGGCUACAUAUUUUUAUUGGUUCUUCAUAUAUGCUUGUCUGCCGUAGGCGGGCAAGCGAGCGGCAAGCUGCGCCUUAUUCAUUAGCAUCUUUUUUUUGAUUUGUCUUCCUUUUUAUGUGUGAUAUCGACAUGUUUUUGCUGCAGACAUGGCUCUUUCCAGGUUCGGGUGACUCCAAGCAGGUGGAGCAAAAGUGGUUGGGGUCUUCGUGUUCAUCACAGGAUUAUUAUUUGCUCCAGAAUUUUGAUGGCCUAUAGUUACUCCACAUUGAGCUGAUGGGUUCUCAGUCUCGAUGUCAGUUGAGUUAUUCCUCGGGGAACUUUCAGUGCAGCUUAGUUCAAAUGGAAUGCAGAUUUGGAUUAAAGGGUGGCUUUGUUGAAUGAAUGCAUGGUUAGUUAAUAUUCUUCAAAUGGAAUGCAGAUUUGGAUUAAAGGGUGGCUUUGUUGAAUGAAUGCAUGGUUAAUUAAUAUCUCCACUUUCUGGUUGAAUUAUGUUGUUUCCAAAAUCUACACCAUCAAAUUUAUUUUAGAUUAUGACUCACAACAGGACCAACUCUUUUUCUAAAUCAGGAGCUUUUUUCCCCUUAUAUACAUAGACUGUCAGGCUAAGGCGUCAGGUUACAGUUAUAUAUUUCGCUUGGUUACCUCAAUAUUGUAACUGAAAACUCGACCAGCUUUGUAAACCAGUGGAUUAUUUCUGUUAGACAUAGGAUUUCAAACGAAGGUGCCAGGGUAUAGUCGCUUAUUUGGCUUGGUGACUGUCUUUACGGUCUUCAUGGUUCAUCUAUCAUGUUUAGAUAGUCGAGUUCAGACAAUGAUGAUUGAUAAAAGGAUAGUGAAAUACUGUUUGGGUGUUCCCGUAUGCCAAAUAGUACAAGUGCCAUAAGGGUAGUGCAAGUGAAUAAGGGUAUAUGAAAUUUCUUUUCCCUACAAACUAUUAUCUUCUGUUGGCGAGAGCACCAAGCCUUUUAGUUAUUAUUUUUUUAAAAAAAGUAAAUGACAACAUAUAAGCAUCUAGGUUUUCCCACUUCAAGCCUAAGAAUGGCAGUCGAUAGACCUUGCAAAUUUGAGUUUUGAUGGUAUAGCUCUAUAUUGCCAAAUUUACUCAAUAUAUUGUAUUCAAUACAAAUCAUGCAACCUCUAACUCCGUAUUCAUUGCACAUUUCCUUUUUCAUGAAGCUGGUAUUAGUCAUCUAUGUGUCAGAACGAGUAGGGAGGUUUUAUUGUUAGAUGAUGAGAAUGACUGCGGUUAUAUCAUCAUAGUGUUUUAGUCUGUAAGCCUUGGUCCAAGUGUGUCGCGUUCUGGAUUCAAUGAAAUUGCUCACCGUAUUUUUUCUAUGGGAUUGCUCACCGUAUUUGUCCAUGGGAUUGCUCACCUGUUUGGCACACUUGGUUUGCUGUCCCGUUUGUAGUUUUGUGUGAUUAUCCUAAUUGGCAUUGUUUUGUGAAACCUAAAUAAUGUAUUAUCAUGUUGGAAGCUAAUUUUUUAUCACCGUUAUACAAAAUUUAUAUUGGUACGAGCUUCACGGGAUCGUGCGCCAAGGCGCACAUAAAUGCAGAAUUUUAGCGUAGAAUUAUUCAUCGGAAUUACUUCCGCGACCUAUUAUACUAGGUAUCUUAUGCAUUUAAUUCUUGCCCUUUCUAUUUUUGGCCACGGAUCUCAUAGGAAGCGUGUUCGCUGAUGCUGGCUAUUUUCAGGCUGCGGAGAUGACUUUGUACAAUAUGAGACACUCGUGGCGAAAUGUGGCAACCUUGUACAAACCUCUUACCACUAAAUAUGGCCAAGAUGCAUCAUCAUUUAGGCUUAAUUUCAUAUUUAUUGUCAUCUUCUUUAGCAUGAGUUUGUUGUUCUAGUUGGUUCACACCGAUAUGCUCUAUUAUUUUUUCAGCAACCGAGAUGAUUCUUGCUGCUUGCCGAUGCUUAAAUGACAUACUGCGAUUGGUGCAUAUCUCUUAACGGCCUAUUUUUAUAUACCAUUAUCAUUUCAUGGAUUAUGUAUGAAAGCUUUAGAUGUCAUUUAUGUUUAGCAGUCAAGCUGUAGCAGUCGGCAACCUAGCAGCCUCUAUCUACGAGCUGCAAGGCGUCGAACUGCUCCGCCUUCAAAGGACCAAGGUGAGUGGCGAUGUAUAAAUUGUUGGAGUAAGGUUUUGUCAAGGAGGUUGUUCUGUUCUAAGUACCAGUAAACUCGGUAAUACCAUUUGUCUUAAGAAAAUGGUAGAAUUUUUUGAGAGGACAGUCCUCCAGAUGUUUAUAAUAUAUUUGUAACUUAUGAAGGACCAUGUUCUUACAUCUACCUAGCCUGAUUGUUAUAUUUGUUCAGACAUUCCAUAGUAUCUCCUUUACUCUGAUGGCUAAUUUUCGUAUUCAGUUGAUUAGUACAGUGGUACGUACAGCAAUGAUGGUACAUUCUACAAGUGCAGUGUCCCCAACAGAUAGGUAUGCCCUAUGUCUUUGAUGCUAAAUUAUUGAUAUGAAACUAUGUUGUUUCUAAUAUCUCUCUAAGCUACGAUGGUGCACCAAUGAAAAAUUGUGAUAUGAAGCUUAUUCAAAUAAUGAAUCUCAAAAAUGUUUUUUAGGAAACAGAAAGAUUUAACAAAAUCUAUACCUGAGGAAAUCUAAGAGUUUACUCCACAAGCCUUUUUUCUGGUUAGAUGUAUCACUUACUGCCAUGGUGCAUCAGUGCAGUUGGGUUGGUACCAUUCUCCCGGAUUUUGUUUUAGAAAACAAUCUAUUUGUAGCUGUGUAGCAUCCCUUUUGGUGGUGUUUUGGUGUUGCCUAUUCAGAGUGUUUAUGAGAAAUAUGUAGGUCAUUCUUCUUUGGUUAGAAAUGUUCCUUUUCCUCAACGCAUUUGUUUCUUGAAAUGCCACUACCAUGUUCAUAUGUAUAAAUAGCUUUGGUACCAACUUGGAUGACCGCAUGGUACAUCCACCAAUCAGAGAAAUGACGGUGUAAACUUGUUUUAUCCUAUAGAGGUAGUAGCUGAUUCUAUAUGAAGAUAACCAUGUCUCCUCUUUUUCUGUAGGACUUUGGACUGGCAACCUGCAGUACCGCUUAUCCUUCACACAUUUACUUGCUUUUCCCUAUGUUGUACUACUAAAUUAUGAUGUGUCUUCUCUAUGUGUUUGUAGAUAUCAUACUUUGUUUGUAAUUAAGGUUGUUUUAUCUAAACUUCA